rnacentral:rRNA from 1 species
UACGGAGGGUGCAAGCGUUAUCCGGAUUCACUGGGUUUAAAGGGUGCGUAGGCGGGCAGGUAAGUCCGUGGAGAAAUCUCUGAGCUUAACUCAGAAACUGCCAUGGAUACUAUUUGUCUUGAAUAAUGUGGAGGCAAGCGGAAUAUGUCAUGUAGCGGUGAAAUGCUUAGAUAUGACAUAGAACACCCAUUGCGAAGGCAGCUUGCUACACAAUGAUUGACGCUGAGGCACGAAAGCGUGGGGAUCAAACAGG